rnacentral:rRNA from 1 species
UACGUAGGGUGCGAGCGUUAAUCGGAAUUACUGGGCGUAAAGCGUGCGCAGGCGGUUCGUUGUGUCGGUGGUGAAAGCCCCGGGCUUAACCUGGGGAUGGCCAUGGAAACUGGCGAACUGGAGUGUGGCAGAGGGGGGUGGAAUUCCGCGUGUAGCAGUGAAAUGCGUAGAGAUGCGGAGGAACACCGAUGGCGAAGGCAGCCCCCUGGGCUAGCACUGACGCUCAGGCACGAAAGCGUGGGGAGCAAACAGG